ACAUCAUUGCAAUUGUUUCUGUGAUACCCAAAAUCAAUGAAACGUUUCCUUCUGAUGAUACUCUCUUGCUCUUCUUUGCUAGCUCAGAUUUGGACAGAGGUAAAAAAUAAGAAAAAGAAUGCAAACUUUUUUGUUAAUUUGUGUUGUAUUGUAUAGUAUUGAUCAUAUGUUAAAAUUAAUGGAUUGGUAAUACCGUUCUUGAUCAGAUGGGCAGCAAAAACCAUUGAUCGGAGGUGUGGCAGAAUUAAUCAAGAAUGAAUCUACAGCAGAAAAGUACAAAUACGUUGCUAAAAUUCAAGUUCCAAAAGGUUUUGGAGAGAUUGGAGCUGUGAUUGUUGAAUUGAAAGACGACUCGUCUGAGAAAUUUAUCGAUACUGUUAUUGUUGCAAAUCCAACAUCUCAUAACACAAUUACGUUCAGCUGUACCUCAUGGGUUCAACCCAAAAGUCUCAUUCCUGACCAACGCAGGGUUUUCUUUUCCACGAAGGUUCGUUGGUUCAUAUAUAUAUAUAUAUAUAUUGUUGUGUAAUGAUUAUUACGAGAGAUGAUUCAAAUUAAUGAAUUGUGUUGCUAAUAAUUGAAUAUGGAAUAAUAUGAGCAGUCCUAUUUGCCCGGAGAUACGCCAGCAGGGCUGCUGAAGUUGAGAGCAGAAGAUCUCGAGAAUUUGAGAGGCCAAAAAGAAGAUGGAACAGUGGAUACAAAUGAGCGUAAGGCGUUCGAAAGGAUUUACGAUUACGACGUGUACAAUGACCUCGGAGAUCCCGACGUAGACACCAAAUGGAAAAGACCAGUUCUUGGUGGUUCAGUUCAGUAUCCUUACCCCCGACGUUGUAGAACUGGUCGUCCUGCUACCGUAUCAGGUAUGUAUAUAUACACUUCUCUUGUUUCUAUAUCAUACAUUUUCAUUAUGGAGUUUGCAAAAAUAGCAAAAAAAUUACGAUAACAGAGUCCAUCUCAAUUACUUUUUCAAAAUUGUAAAAAUAACAAAUUUUAAAAGUAGAAUAUCGUCGAUUACUGUCAUAUUUGCCAAAUUUGCAAUAUGAAAAAAAAAAUGUUAUGAGCUAUUUUUUCUAAAAAAAUUUUGUUCCUUUUCGUUAAAGUUUUUCUUUUUCAUGGUUUUUUUUUUACUUAUAUUUUCAAAUUCUCAUAGUUUACGUUUUUAGUUUAUUUUGAUUUUUAUACAUUUUGUCUUAAGUUUUUAAAAUUGGACCAACUUGAUUUCUUAAAAAUAAAAAUAUGAAUGGGAUGAAUCAUUGAAUGAAAGUUGAAAAAUAAAAAAUUUGGUAUUUUUAAAUAUAGCAAAAUAAAUAAAAAUAUUUACAAAAUAUUCCUAUCUAUUACUUACCUACACUAAUAGUAUUUAAAUUAAGAGUAAUUAUAACAAGCAACAACUUUAAAAAUAAUAAUGAAGUAUAUAGUAACAUUUUUUUAAAAAAAUUAUAAAUAUAGUCCACCAAACCAAUAUUAGAGCAACAUAGAGAUUGAUUUUGGUAUGUGGGUAACUUUUUAAAAUUUUGUUGUCCACUUACAUUAUACAUAAAAAUAAAAACUCAAAAAAUAUUUUUAAGAAUAAGAAAAUAAGAGUUGGCAUUUAGUUAAUAAUAUAAAAGAAAAUUAAACAUAUAGUUACUUGAAAUUAAAUAUAAUAAUGUUUUUGGGAAGUAAUUAACAAAUGAUACAAUUGUGGUUAGAUCCAAAGUCAGAGCAAAGAAGUACAGAAAGCUUUUAUGUUCCAAGAGAUGAAGCAUUCUCAGAAGUUAAGCAGAAAAUGUUCCCAUCAAACCCAGGGAAGAAAGAUAAGUUAGGAGCAAAGCCUUUCACCGACUUUACUCAGAUUGACUUAAUGUUCAGAGACGGCAUUGCACCUCCAUCCAAUCCACAUGAAAUUCUUCAAUUUAACAUUAUCUCCACACUUAAUGCAUCAAAUCAACCCGCCCCACCUUCUGUUCAGCCCACUCCUGUUCAACCCGACACCCCUGUAAUCAAAUUCCCACCACCUGAGGCUCUCAAAAGUAAGCACCAUACAUACACACGACAUAAACAAAACUUUUCUUUUCUUUUUCUUUUUUGUAAGCAAUUUUCAGUACAACUUAAUUAAUUCAUUUACAUCACAAUACGUAAUCCUUGUGUUUUUCCAGGAGACAAGUUCAAUUGGCUUAGUGACAGUGAAUUUGCAAGACAAACAAUUGCGGGUCUUAAUCCCUAUUGUAUACAGUUGGUCAAGGUGAGUGACAGACUAACAAUAAUCAAUAAAUAUAUAUCAAACUACCCUUACCCACUAGCUUUAAUUAAAACCAAGUCAAAUAUUAGGGAUUUAAGACAGAUAUUUUUAAUCUGCUCUCUAUAGUAUAUAUGAAAUUAUAGCUUAAUUAUUUUGUAUGAAUAAAUUCAGAGUUGGCCUUUGAAGAGUGAGCUGGACCCCGUGGAAUAUGGUCCUCAAGAAUCAGCAUUCACCACGGAAUUGGUUCAAAAAUUAAUAGGAAGUUCCAUCACAGUUGAAGAGGCUAUAGCGCAAAAGAAAUUGUUCGUAUUAGAUUACCAUGAUACUUUGAUGCAAUAUGUAGAGAAAGUAAGAAGCAUUAAGCGAACCACACUCUAUGGAUCAAGAACCUUGUUCUUCCUAAACGAUGAUGACACUUUGAGUCCCUUGGGUAUUGAGCUAACUCGGCCACCAAUGGCUGGAAAGCCCCAAUGGAAACAAGUUUUCUCACCAAGCACUCAAGCAACAAAUGCUUGGCUAUGGAGGCUUGCUAAAGCCCAUGUUCUUGCUCAUGAUUCUUGUGUUCACCAACUCGUUAUUCAUUGGUACGUACCUAUAUAUAUAUUGCUUAAAAGAAAAACAAUUUUUGAUAUCACCGUGUUUGUGGAUAGUAUAAUUAAUUAAUUAUAUAUCUAUAUAUAUGCAGGCUUAGAACUCACUGUUGCAUGGAGCCAUAUGCAAUCGCCUUAAACAGACAAUUGAGUACUAUGCACCCAAUCUAUAGAUUAUUGCAUCCUCAUUUCCGAUUCAAUAUGCGUAUCAACUCAAAUGCUCGUGAAAUUCUAAUCAAUGCCGGAGGCAUCAUUGAAAGCACAUUCUCUGCUGGAGGUUAUUCCAUGGAAUUUAGUUCUUUGGUAUAUAAGAAGGAGUGGCAAUUUGACACACAAGCACUCCCUGAGGACUUAAUUCGCAGGUAAUUUAUCAAGACGUACAACUUUUGAUUUGAAAUCAAUAUAAUUAAAUUUGAGCAGUGUUUGGCUAGACCAAAUAUAAUUAUGCAUGCUAAUAAUUAUUAGUGAUAAAUUUAAAAUUAUUAGGGGAAUGGCGGAAAGAGAUGCAAGUGCACCACAUGGUCUGAAGUUGGCAAUCAAAGACUACCCUUUCGCCAACGAUGGUUUAAUCUUAUGGGAGGCCCUAGUGGAAUGGAUUUCAGAAUAUGUGAACCACUAUUACCCAGAUGAGAAAGCGAUAAAGAACGAUAAAGAGUUGAAAGCUUGGUGGAAAGAAAUCAAGGAAAAGGGACAUCCAGAUAAAAAGAAGGAAGCAGGAUGGCCAUCACUAAAAACCCCAAACGACUUAAUUCAGAUUGUGUCAACAAUAGCAUGGGUAGGAUGUGGGCACCACACUGCUGUCAACUUCAUUCAAUAUGCACAUGCUGGCUAUUUUCCUAACCGACCCAGUAUUGCAAGGACAAACAUGCCCACAGAGGACUAUGACCAAAUUCCAGAAGCGUUUAUAAACAAUCCUGAAAGUGUGAUACUUGAGGCCUUCCCUUCAAUAGCUCAAGCUUCUACAGUGGCCCAAACUAUGUUGAUACUGUCAGCACAUUCUCCAGAUGAGGAGUAUAUUGGGAAGAAGAUAGAGCCAGCAUGGGCUGAGGACCCCAUGAUAGCCAAAGCCUUUGACAAGUUUAAAAUGAAGUUGGAUAAACUAGAAAAGACAAUUGAUCAAAGGAAUGAGAACAAUGAAUUGAAGAAUAGGCGUGGAGCUGGGCUUGUGCCUUAUGAGGUUCUUAAACCAACUUCAGGUUUUGGGGUCACAGGAAAGGGAGUUCCAUACAGUGUUUCCACUUGAGUCACACGUCUCCCUUCCUCGUAUUCGUUGUCUUUUUCAGCUUUCUGCAUUUUUUUCUUACUUGGGAACCAUAAGAUAUGUAAUUUUCAUUUUGUACGUCAGUGUCUUUGCCUUAUGUGCAUGACUUUAUUAGAAUAAUUUAAAUGCCAAGUAAUUUAUAUAUCCAUUACAUUAUUCCAUUUUUCUUCACACCAAACUGAUCUUUUAAACAAAAUAGAAGAUUUAGAAUAGAUUGGCCACCGAGUCUCUAAGAAUAUAGAAUACAUUCAACUUGUGCAUGUAUAUAUAUAUAUAUAUUAUUUUCUUCAAGUUGUGAGUUGAAGUGUCUAAAACAUAGAAACUUUCUUUUCUUAUAACCAAAACUCAAUUUUGCAGACAUAAGCUUAGUAAAAAAAGAAGAAAUAAAAGGAGAAAUUGCCAAAAAUAUUAAUCAAUUUAUUAUCAUUUAUUGAAACCUUCAAAAUCAAAUAAAACUCCUCUACUUAUAAAAGGUGUGUAUUUUGUUGGUUUAUACCUGGUUAGUCCAUGGAUUUGAAUCUUAAUUAACAUUUGGACCAAAUUAAGUAUAUUUUUAGACUAAAUUAUAUUUUAUCUCUUAUGUUAAUAUCAAAUUGAAAAAAAAUGAUUUUAUUUAAUUAAACGGUUACAACGAAAACACGAGACAAUAUUGUUGAGAUUUAUCAAUUUAUUGUAUUAAAUUUGAGUUUAAACACAAAUGUAACUUUCAUUUAAACACUACUAAGUUUUUUUCUUUCUAAUUAAAGUGCAUGAUCACAAAUUGACUCAAAUUUCUUUCAUCAAAUUUAAACACUUCAAGGUGUUGAUUGGUAAAUUCAGGGUGAAACAAAGGAAGUUCAUCCUUAGAUGAAAGAAAACUCUCCAACAAUCAACUAUUCUAAAGGUACUAAUUAAUUUAAACUAACAACUAAAGUAAUAAUUAAAUAUUAAUUGUCUAAUAAUUGAUCUCACAUUUUAUUUACAAAUAUUAAAUUAAUUUACUAAUACACCCUAGGUUCUUCUAGAAGUAGGAAAAGAACAAUUAAUAAAAAUUAAUUUAUCAUUUCAUUUAAUUUCAAAUUUUAGCCUACCUAACAUAUACAUAUAAUUGAAUUGGCAUAAAUUAUUUGGAAUUUUUUAUAAAUUUAAUAAAAUACCAAAAUAUUUAUCCAUCCUAUCACAUAAUAAAAAAGUCCAUAAAACCAAUCAUUUUUUAAAAAAAUAUUCCAACUUUGUCUUUUUCUACAAUUUUUCUUUUUCUUUCCACCGUUUUUUUAUCUUCUUCUAUAAUUUUCUUUUAUUUUUUUUAACUAUUAUUUGGUUCAAGAUCGUGUACCAAAUAUAAAAAAUUUAUUUUUUUAUUAAAAAAUCUAUUUUUUCUUUAAUUGUUUUCGAACUAUUAUUUCGCGCUAUUCAAGAUCAUGUACCAAAUAUAAAAAAUCUUGAAAAAAAUGGAUAUUGGUACACUUUGUAGCUAAAUCUAAACGAUGCUGUACACAAAAAAUCUUAUUUAGAUUUUGGUCCAAAAUCUAAAAGUACGUUUAGAUUGUGCAUGAAAGAAUCUUGACAAAAAAUGAUCGUUACCACAAAUAGGAUAAGUUGUAGCUAAAUCUAAACGAUCUAAAAAAAUCUUUGAAAAAAUUUGUUUAGAUUUGGGUAACGAUCAAAUUUAAACGAUCGUGUACCAAAUAAUGUUGAAAAAAAAAAUCUCUAAACGAUUCAUACUAAAUAAUAGCAAAAUUUAAACGAUUGUGUACAUAACAUAUUUAAAAAAAUCGUUUAAAUUUGGACAAUGAUCGUGUAGCAAAAUCUAAACAAUUUUGGUGCGUGUACUAAAUAUAUUAUAUAUUAUGCGUGUGAGUGCCAAUUAAUCAUGUGUUGAUGAAAUACUUUUUGUAUUUUUCAUCGUCGAUUGGAAGGUUUUGAGUUCAAAAUUGUUUAUAGAGUAAAAUUGUAAGAGUAAACUAUUUUUUUCUAAUUUUAAAUCUUAUAGCAUUAUUUAAAAAAAAUAAACAACUUUUUAUACUUAUAUUAAAAACUCAAAGAACUGCAGCAGCUAACCCAUUUGAUCAUUUUUCAUAAAGAAAAAAAAGAAAAGAAAACACUUUUUAAACAAUUUAAGGACUUAUUGAAAAGAUACAUUAUUAAAAUUCAAGAUUGAAGGAGAAAUUGGGGAAGUAAAAAUAUAAUAUUAUAUAAAAACAAAUUUAUAGUUUAAAACUAACAAGUUGAAAGGAAGGAAGGUGGUAAUGAACAAAGAGAGGGGCCAACAAAAGGUAGCCAGUGGUCAAUAUAUUCCAAAGUGUGGGGUUAUGAUUAAUUAAUGCAUUCACAUUUUAUAGGAUUAUUAUUACAAUUCUAUGGGACGACCUCGUACCCCAUGAUUUAUAUUAUUUUUUAUGGUGAUCACAUUCAUACUAUCAUCUAAUGAAUUCAAUGUAAGAAUUAAUUACCUUUGUUUAUAAAAUAUCAACCACUAAUUCACAAGACUUCAACUUUAGUUUUUUCUAAUUAAAUUCAUGAUAUAACUAAUAUUUUUCCUUUAUUUUAGGAUAAUUUUUUAAUUUCUAUAUAUAUAUAUCACUUUCCUCAAAAUUUGUUGCAAUUUAAUUGUACGGACAUCAUAAAUUUAAGAAGUUCAAUCAAUCUAACUUACGAGUUGAGUUGAACCAACUCCAAGUUUUAAAAGAUAAGCCAUUCACUUAUCAUAUAUAAUUGUAUUUACAUGUAUUUAUAAUUUUCAUAUUUUUUUAAUAGUUUAUUCCUCAUCCACUUUUAAAGGAGAACAAUAUUUUAAAAAAAGAGCAAAAUAAAUUAAAAUAUCUAGAAGCUAUAACAAAAUUUUGGAUUCUAAUGAUGACAUAUUAAUGACUAUCAGGAUAUAAUUUGCUAUAUAUUGUAAAUGUUUGGUAAAAUUUGCUAUUUUAAAAAUUUCUUCAUUCUUAAAAGUAUUUUUUUAAUAGUUUAGAAAUAAUUUUUUUAUUGAGUUAUUAACCAUAAUUUAUUAUAUUAAAAUCAUUAAAUUAUUUUUUAAAUAAAUAACUUUAUCCAAAACUCAUAUAUUUUAGGAUAAUUUUUUUAAAGAGUAGAUUUUACAAAAUAUUUGUAACCUAUAGUACAUUUUAUCACUAUAGCAUAUCAUAGUAUCAAGCGAUAGAAUUUAAAAUUUGGCUAUAAUUUAUAAAUAUUUUAAUUUAUUUUACUAUUUUUAAAAAUAUUUUUAUAUUUUAUGGUUGAGUUAAUUAAUUUUUUAAUAUGAGUUAUUUGGAUGGAUUAAAUCUACAACUCUAAGAUGUGCUUCUUCAAGUUUAUUCCAACCCACAAAUCCCCUAACUUUUAGUGUAUUCUUUCUAUCGAUAAAAACAACGUGUAUCUACGCAAUAUUCAAUCUUCUAUCUACGUCUAUAUUUUUGUCAGCAAAAAUGAAUACGUAUCCACCCAACGAAAUUAUAUCUUUACCUACAUUUUUUCUUUUGUCGUUAGAAAAAUAACUUUCGCUUGGAGUGAUAAGACAUUUUAUGUGUGGUGUGAAAUGACUGACACUUCUAGGCUACAUAAUUUCUUUUUCCAAAAGAAAAUUGGACCCCAAACAAAUAAGUAGUAACUUAUUUUAUGAUUAGUCCAAAUUUUGUCCAUUCACCAACUAACUUUUAAUUAUAUAUAGAUAGAUAGAAGUUUGACUAAAUAAACAAUUGAAAUACUAGGUAAAAAAUUCAUAAAAUUUAACAAAAAUAAAUUGUGGCUAAUCAAGGUCAUUUUUCUCUAGAUAACAUGUUAUCAAAUCGAUAUAUAUACAAGUCGUGAUUAAUUGAGCUUUAGGAUAUAGUUUUUUUGGCUCGUUCCACCAUUUCUUAAACGAUAUAGUUAUAUUUGAACCUUCAUGAAGUUAGAUUAUGUUCGUUACCCAAAAAUAACAUUAUAAUUUAUAACCUAGCUAAUGUUAGGUAUUUCCAUAUUUUCUCCUAAUACACUUAAUUAAAAUAAAAGUUCUCAAACCAAAAUUUCAAAUGGACAAUCAUUUUAUAUAUUUCCCUUGAACCUCAUCAUAGUAUUUUUCAUAGAUGUAAUUUGGAAUUCAAAUAAUAAAAACAAAAGAUUGUUUGUGGAACACAUUCACACAAACUUUCGAUUCUUACUGGCAUCAUUAUCGUUAUAAAUAGCAUCCAACAUACGUGUUAUUUGCUAUGCUUAAUUUAGCUUGCUAUUCUAAUCAACCUAGGAAGAAACAUGGUGAAUGUUAAUUUAAGUUCUUCCUAGUUAACAUUCAUCUUAGCAUAAUUCAAAUUCUCAAUACUUUUUUGCUUAACUUGAUCAUUACCCCACUUUCAUCUAAUUAAAUUGACUAAUUGAUUAGUUAGAACUCUCACUUCCUCUUUCAAGUGAGUUGACUAAGCUUAAAUAAAAUAGAAAAUAAUUCAAUGAAUCUAUAAUCAAGUUAUAGUUGAAGAAAUACCUCAAAAGAUUAAGUUAGACCAUAACAUAAUUGUAUUGAUCCGUUUGAAUUUGUAU
rnacentral:lncRNA from 1 species